rnacentral:misc_RNA from 1 species
GAUGAAGAACGCAGCGAAAUGCGAUACUUGGUGUGAAUUGCAGAAUCCCGUGAACCAUCGAGUUUUUGAACGCAAGUUGCGCCCGAAGCCGUUAGGCCGAGGGCACGUCUGCCUGGGCGUCACGCAUCGCGUCGCCCCCCACAAUUCUCCGUAAAAGGAACAUGUGUUUUGGGGGCGGAUAUUGGUCUCCCGUGCUCAUGGCGUGGUUGGCCGAAAUAGGAGUCCUUUCGAUGGACGCACGAACUAGUGGUGGUCGUAAAAACCCUCGUCUUUUGUUUCGUGCUGUUGCUCGCAAGGUAAACUCUUUAAAAACCCCAAUGUGUCGUCUCUUGACGACGCUUCGACCGCGACCCCAGGUCAGGCGGGACUACCCGCUGAGUUUAAGCAUAUCAAUAAGCGGAGGA